AUUGAACGCUGGCGGCAUGCCUUACACAUGCAAGUCGAACGGCAGCGGGGACUUCGGUCCGCCGGCGAGUGGCGAACGGGUGAGUAAUGUAUCGGAACGUACCAUUGAGUGGGGGAUAACGUAGCGAAAGUUACGCUAAUACCGCAUAUUCUCUCCGGAGGAAAGCAGGGGACCGCAAGGCCUUGCGCUCUUUGAGCGGCCGAUAUCAGAUUAGCUAGUUGGUGGGGUAAAAGCUCACCAAGGCGACGAUCUGUAGCGGGUCUGAGAGGAUGAGCCGCCACACUGGAACUGAGACACGGUCCAGACUCCUACGGGAGGCAGCAGUGGGGAAUUUUGGACAAUGGGGGCAACCCUGAUCCAGCCAUGCCGCGUGAGUGAAGAAGGCCUUCGGGUUGUAAAGCUCUUUCGGCCGGGAAAAAAUCGCAUGGGUUAAUACCCUGUGUGGAUGAUGGUACCGGAAUAAGAAGCACCGGCUAACUACGUGCCAGCCGCCGCCGUAA
rnacentral:rRNA from 1 species